AGAUGCGCUGGCCCCAGCCCGGGGCUGCCGCUCGCCUUCCCCCGGAGUCUCCUGGACCCCCGGAGUCUCCUGGACCCCCGGAGCGGGAGGCAGCGGCCGCGCGGCGCUGGACUGGAGCAGAACCCCAGGACUGCGCCCCCGGGAGCGGGCGCCCAGAGGGAAAAUAGAGAAAGUCAAACCUCCUCCAUCCCCCACCACUGAAGGCCCCAGCUUGCAGCCUGACUUAGCCCCUGAAGAGGCUGCCGGAACCCAGCGGCCCAAGAAUCUGAUGCAGACCCUCAUGGAAGACUAUGAGACACACAAAUCUAAAAGGCGCGAGAGAAUGGAUGAUAGUAGUGUCCUCGAGGCCACACGGGUUAAUCGAAGAAAGAGCGCACUGGCUUUGCGCUGGGAAGCAGGGAUCUAUGCCAACCAGGAGGAAGAAGACAACGAAUAAACUUCCUUCAACCCAGGAAGCGUCUUUGGUGCUUGGGAGACCAAGAAACCAAGAAAUUAACAACUGAAAGCAUUUUAAUGGACUAUUUAUUAAAGUGCAAACAAACUCAGCAAUCCUUAUGUAGACCAGAAGCUGC
rnacentral:lncRNA from 1 species